rnacentral:rRNA from 1 species
GAACCGCAUGGUUCGAAAUUGAAAGGCGGCUUCGGCUGUCACUUAUGGAUGACCCGCGUCGCAUUAGCUAGUUGGUGAGGUAACGGCUCACCAAGGCAACGAUGCGUAGCCGACCUGAGAGGGUGAUCGGCCACACUGGGACUGAGACACGGCCCAGACUCCUACGGGAGGCAGCAGUAGGGAAUCUUCCGCAAUGGACGAAAGUCUGACGCAGCAACGCCGCGUGAGUGAUGAAGGCUUUCGGGUCGUAAAACUCUGUUGUUAGGGAAGAACAAGUGCUAGUUGAAUAAGCUGGCACCUUGACGGUACCUAUCCAGAAAGCCACGGCUAACUACGUGCCAGCAGCCGCGGUAAUACGUAGGUGGAAAGCGUUAUCCGGAAUUAUUGGGCGUAAAGCGCGCGCAGGUGGUUUCUUAAGUCUGAUGUGAAAGCCCACGGCUCAACCGUGGAGGGUCAUUGGAAACUGUGAGACUUGAGGGCAGAAGAGGAAAGUGGAAUUCCAUGUGUAGCGGUGAAAUGCGUAGAGAUAUGGAGGACACCAGUGGCGAAGGCGACUUUCUGGUCUGUAACUGACACUGGGGCGCGAAAGCGUGGGGAGCAAACAGGAUAAGAUACCCUGGUAGUCCACGCCGUAAACGAUGAGUGCUAAGUGUUAGAGGAUUUCCGCCCUUUAUGCUGAAGUUAACGCAUUAAGCACUCCGCCUGGGGAGUACAGCCGCAAGGCUGAAACUCA